AGCCAUGGUGUGCUGUCCGGCUCCCAGAGGUUUACGAAGAGGCGGCUGGGGCUUCGCUCCUCUGCUGGCUGCCGCGCUGCUCACCCUUCUGCUCGCAGGGAUGCAACAGACCACAGCGUUUCCCUCCUGGAGGUUAGAGGAAGAAGCUUACACCACUGUGUUGCUCAUCGGGAUCCGCAAAGAGGCCCGUUCACAUGUGCUUCACCUCUCCAGGAACAAGCGCUACACCCUCACCCCGGAGCAGCUCAAAUGGGACAAGUUCAAGCUAACAUACAAGUUGCUGUCCUUCCCUACAAACUUGAUAAAUGCCAGCGACACGCGUCGAGGCAUUGCCAAGGCUUUUCUCAUGUGGAGCGAUGUCUCGCCGUUCAGCUUCAGAGAAGUGCCAGCUGACCAAGAGGCAGACAUAAAGAUCGGCUUCUACCCCGUCAACCACACAGACUGUCUGCAGUCCUACUUGCACCAUUGUUUCGACGGCAUCACAGGAGAAUUGGCUCAUGCAUUUUUCCCGCCAACAGGCGAGAUCCACUUUGACGACCACGAAUACUGGAUUCUGGGAAACAUGCGCUUCAGCUGGAAGAAAGGGGUUUGGCUGACAGACCUCGUCCACGUGGCAACGCAUGAAAUUGGCCACGUCCUGGGACUCAUGCACUCCAUGGACCCAAAAGCUAUAAUGCACCUGAAUGCAACUCUCACAGGGCGCAAGCUAAUCACACAGGAUGAAGUGUGGGGUUUGCACCGUCUCUAUGGAUGUUUGGACCGGUUUUUUAUCUGUCCAGCCUGGGCUCGGAAAGGCUAUUGCGACAGCAAGCGCAAGCUGAUGCAGAAGCACUGCCCCUCCAGCUGUGAUUUCUGUUACGGUAAGACAGAGCAGCAGCAGAAGGCAGCAGCAGUCCAAGGAAAAAAAAGUUUUCUCUCAACUGAGCAGCGCAAGGAGCUGCUGUGAACCGUUUGCCAAUGGAGCAACGGGAGCCAACAGGUCCAGCCAUGCAGAGCUGCGAUGGGGGUUUUUAAUAAUCAGAUUUUAAGGGAGAUUACACUUGCCACUGGUGGAGUUUGAGUUAAGUUUUGGGGAGCAGCAGAGUCCCCAGGGAGCCAAUGUGUGUUUUGGCCGACAACACUGACAGAGCAGAGCAGGUACCUGCAGAUAGGUGUCUCAAUGAGUGAUGCUUUACACCAAGAAUUGAUAAUACAUCAGCAAUCUGACAGCCUAAGCCUCUUUAGCUUUACUGAGGGACACACGGGUGCGGAUGUCUCCUGUUGCACAACAGGAAAUGGUUCCUCCUAACCAUCACAGCCCCAUAGAUUGUUGUGGCUUUCUGGGAUUUUUGUCAGCAACAAGGGACAGUGUGGAGAGGCAAGAGGAUACGAUUCCUGGCUCGCAGUAAUCUGUUCCUCAUUGUUGAUUGGGAGACGUUGUACGGCUGUGGAAAAUUCCUGAGUGACUCCAAACCGCUGGAAUUUCAGACUGUGGCUUGAGGGUUAGAGACACACAAGGUCAAUUUGGAUUUUUGCGGCAUUAACGAGAGCGACUGUUUUUUAAGCAGACUGUGAGAUGAUCACAAGGCGGCCUGUUGUGUUUGUCAGAAACCAGAUGGAAGAGAUUAUAUUGAUAAGACAGCCAUGACGCCUGCAGGUCAGGAGUUGUGAAAAGCAUGGGGAGUGUCCAAAGUGAUAAGAAUUCCCUUUCCCCACUGUGGCUCCCACCCCGACACCCCCGAGGACCAAACACAAGCUGGUCGUCGAGGGCAAAAAGCUUACCUUUCGU